CGCUAAGUACACACAGAGUUUGUUGCAUCAACUCCGUCUGGCCCUUUUCUCCGAACUUCUACCUGCACAAGUUUGUGCCUACUACCAAAAAACCAACCACAAAACACACUCGGUCGCUGCAUGGAGAAAUUUAUAAAAUUUCUUAUCACCCAAUUUUAUAAUGGGAAUUAAAUCUCGACACCAAUUAAGAGACGGAGAGAGAGAGAGAGAGGAAUAGUGAGACAUGAUAUUUGCCAGAAGACCACCAGAAUUUACUCGCUGUAAUCAGACUUAUUUAACUUGUGGGGAUAAUGUCUGCCAGGAAAUGGCAUGGGCAACAGCAAACCAAAAAUCUCACGCGAACUAAGAAAUUGGAAAGUUUCUGUAAAAAAUUACGAUGCGGACCUCGUGCUAUUCAUUCGUCACAUGAAAGUAAUUUUACCGAGUUAUCCAAUUACCGCACCACCACUAAACUACCAUAAAUUCAGCCUCUGGAUGGAUGGAUGGAUGGACGAUGAAUCUGCAGACGUCAUGUGAUUUGUGACCGUUCUAAUGGGCAUAAUUAUUAAUACCUGCUCGUCAGUUCGUUCAUGAAUCAUAAUGUCUGCCCAAUCUUCACACAAACGCAAAAAAAAAUUAUCCCCACCCACCGGAACAAUUAAGCCAUUUAUUAGUUUUAAAUAUUUACCAACUAUUUAAUAAGUAAUUAAACUCGUUCUAAUUUUGUACAAAUAAAAUAUUUAAAAAAGAAUAUCGCAACAUGUUUGUACAAUGUUUUUAUUUCUCCAUGUAUGUAAAAUAAUGGUCCAGUUUCCUUCCGCAUACAUAUUUGCAUAUUACAUACGAACGGAAUUAUCAAGUUAUGCGGUAUGUCACUUCAAGCCGGAAACCGUCAUUUACUUACUUUUACAUUUAAAAAAACUAUGUAACUGGAUUCAAUAACCUCAUAAAAAAAUUAGCCAAUUCUCAACGUCCCAUGAUGCACGUAUUAUUUGUCGAAAAUGAAUCGUUAAUAAAUGGUAACAGAAAAAAAUUAGCUGUAACCGGAGCCUCGAGAUUUUGGGUUUCUAUCUCAAGUGGCUGGAAAACCAUGCUCAACACACUCACCAACAUAUCCCGUUUGUCUUUAAGAGUUCGAAUUUCAUACGGAUUUUAUUAUGCAACAAUUCGUCGUCACCCUCUUUUUUUCAGCGUCACGUCCACGUCCACAUCCACUCCACUCCAGAGGGUAUUUACUUAUUGAAACAAAUUGAGAAAGCGUGUCCAUGGGGGAAAGUGCGACGUGAAUGAAGGCCGUUCCUACUGAUUAAGCAACAAUGCAGACGAGUCAACUACUUAACAAUGCCGGAGAUGGGUAAUAAUGGACUUGGUCAUUAAUGACGAAAUGAGAGUGUCAAUUGGGAGCUUAAUGAGUCAUUUCCCACGCGGUCAUUUGAUCCAUAUUAAGAUAACGGGAGGAGAAGGGGGGCAAACAGUUUUCUAAUUAUGGGACACUCUGCACAGCUUAUCGUCACUCUGGGCUUGAUGAAUGCAUCCAAUGUGUGUCAUCCCUUCCAUGAAGUGAGGGGCCCUGACGCAUAAAUUUCCUAUUAUUAACCCACCAGAAGGCUGCCUUAAUUACAUGCGUGUAUUUAUUUAUCCACAUGCUUGACACGAGGCACAUGCUGUUCUUCCUUCCUUCGUCUUGUUCUUUUUUUACAGAGCCGGGCCAUAAAAAAAUGCUUGCCUGCAUAAAUUUGUGACCCGUUUAGAGCGUGAAAAGGACUCCAUUAAGUAACGAUCGUUAAACAAUUUGUCCCUUUUAUGACACUUCAUUAAAUCACCUGCUCCCUGAAAAGGUGGGCAUAUUACAAGUGGUUGAGGGGCCAGGUGGGUAAGGCAGCGUGGAAAUAAGGGUCGUUCACGGGUAAAAUAUGUGCAAGGGACACGUGAGAUCAUAACAUGUUGAUGUGACAAAUAUUAAUUAUUUACUUAUGUACACGCAUUUAACUAACUAACUGACUGAUUGGCUGGAGGAGUGGAUGAACUUUGGGUAGAAAUUAGGGAAAUGUACGGACGGAUGUGUAUGUAAAUACGCAUGUUUCUCUCUUCCUCCUAUAAACUAAACUAAUAAUUGCAUUCUAAUUAUCUCUCUUAAAUCCUAGAGUUGUGUUUACUUUUCCAUCCCACAUAAAAUGGGAGGUUGGCUGGUCAAGGAGUCGUCAUUUACGGUCGAGAGGGUGACGAGUAGGACUUGGAUAGAUUUUCAGGAAGGUUGAAACGUUUCCAAAUUUUGUGAGACGAGGAAAUUUGUGAGGAAUCGGGAAAUUUCAGUGGAGAAUUGUUCGAGCUAGAUACACAUGUGGGACAACACACCGCAGGAUUUGUAGUAUCCAUAUUUUCCAAACAAAUUGCAUCCUCCGUACCUCAAAUGCUCGGCUCAUUCAACAGGUGAAACUGUUCAGAGAGAGACACUCACACACGUCACAUUCAGAGACGCACAAAGUCCACAGUUUCAUUUACAUCAGGACGGAGGAUUUCCAUAUUUUAGGAAUCUUUCGGAGUGAAUCUGAUCAGGCGUUUUCUUGGAUUGAAGAUCAUCUCAUCUGUCACCACCACUAUUUCAAUCGCAUCUCAUCUCAUCGGAUGGAGGGGAGAGGAACAGACAUGCACGUAAGUAAUGCACGAAUAACUGACAGCCCUGUCAGAAACGUUGGUAUGCAGUUGAAUUUUUAAUCGUAAUCAUUCAAGGUGUGUGGUUUUUAUAAGUUAAAAAUUCAAUUCAUGGAUGAUGAUGGAGGCAUCAUUUGACUCCUUGAUUUGUGCACAAUCAAUCUGCCAGGAUUUCUUAAUCGGGGAGAAAGUCGGGGUCGGAUGAUAUAUUUUUUUCCGUUACGUCACACCUUCUCACCUUUCGGAGAGGCAAUGUCCCCUAAAAUUUAGCAUUUAUUGCGGAUUAACUACCUUUUGUUCACCCGUGUCGUCGCGGUGGUGGCACUUCUCGGAAAAGUUUUGAUUUCUCAUUUUCUUGCAACUCGGCCAGGAAGUGGAAUGUGUGUGCAGGACUUGCGAAGCGAAAUGCGAAUAGCCUCGUGUAUUUACAUACGUGGCUGGGUAAAAAAAUGCCGUGCAAUAAAUAAAGUGAGGAUGGACGGCGUGCAAUGGUUGGUCAACUCGUGGCCUGGACUGGACUGGACUGAUUGCAAUCAAUCACAACUUGGCGUAUUUUUUAUCAUUGGGUAGGAAAAAAUGAACAGUUAAUUCAUACAUAUUCCUAGUUCAUGGAGAAGAAAAUAGGUAAAGCGUCGCUGCUCCGUCUGUUUUGUGGUGACUGAAUUUUGUGUGAAAAACAUGUGGUUUUGGUGUAUGUGUGGCAUUUUCUGUUUAUUUUGCACAGGUAAAUAUGCACAAGUGGAGGCUGGCUUAUUACGGACCAUUUGCGUCGUGGGGAGAAAGCAGGCGAGGAGGAGGAUGUAAUGGAAAUAGAGGUGGCUAAGUAGUAGCGCCGCAGGUGAUGGUGUCUUAUUUUCACCUGUAGCAUACUACUUGUCUCUGGUUGUUUCACACUCGUCCGUCCAAGAUGACGCCUUUCUCUGGAGGAAAAGUCCCCUCCAGUGACCGCGGAAGCCGUGGGGACAUCUGGGGACAUUGCCCUUGUGGGAUGGGGUUUGUAUAACAUGGGGACAUCGAACAUCCGUGGGGACAUUGUCCCACGCUUCCUCCGCUAGGACGACGAUAAGUAGUCACCCAAGCCCAACUUGUACGUUCAUAUUUUAGUACCAACAAAAUUAAAUGUCUUGAUAAAAAUGGUUUUGAAAAUAAAUUUAUUUUGUAAAAAUA